ACGAGAACAGACUGUAGUAAUACAGUGCUGCUAAGUGGCGCACGGGUGAGUAAUGUAUAGGUAAUGUGCCUUCUAGAAGGGGAUAAUUGUUGGAAACGACUUGUAAGACCCUAUAUGCCUUUAGAACAUAAGUUCGCAAGGGAAAUAUUUAUAACUAGAAGAUCAGCUUGUAUAGUAUCAGCUAGUUGGUAGUGUAAUGGACUACCAAGGCUAUGACGCUUAACUGGUCUGAGAGGAUGGUCAGUCACACUGGAACUGAGACACGGUCCAGACUCCUACGGGAGGCAGCAGUGGGGAAUAUUGCACAAUGGGCGAAAGCCUGAUGCAGCAACGCCGCGUGGAGGAUGACACUUUUCGGAGCGUAAACUCCUUUUAUAUCCCAAGAUAAUGACGGUAGGAUAUGAAUAAGCACCGGCUAACUCCGUGCCAGCAGCCGCGGUAAUACGGGGGGUGCAAGCGUUACUCGGAAUCACUGGGCGUAAAGAGCGUGUAGGCGGUUUGAUAAGUUGGAAGUGAAAUCCUAUAGCUUAACUAUAGAAUUGCUUCCAAAACUGUUUAACUAGAAUGUGGGAGAGGUAGAUGGAAUUUCUGGUGUAGGAGUAAAAUCCGUAGAUAUCAGAAGGAAUACCUAUUGCGAAAGGCGAUCUACAGGAACAUAAUUGACGCUGAGACGCGAAAGCGUGGGGAGCAAACAGGAUUAGAUACCCUGGUAGUCCACGCCCUAAACGAUGCACACUAGUUGUU
rnacentral:rRNA from 1 species